rnacentral:lncRNA from 10 species
UGUGCCCAGGGAAGGCAACAAAUUCUACUUUCUAGUCUCCAGAAAGGACAUAUGUUAGCAGAGACAUAUUUGGACCCAACCUAUAUACUUUUUCUCUAUAAAGCAUUCAAAGAACAAUGUGACGAUUACAGUUGUGUGGGAUUUCACCCUUCCUUAACUAUAAAAAGAAGACUUCUUGGGCCAGGCCGGUGGCUCACGCCUGUAGUCCCAGCACUUUGGGAAGCCGAGGCGGAUGGAUCACGAGGUCAGGAGAUCGAGACCAGACUGGCCAACAUGGUGAAACCCCGUCUCUAACAAAAAUAGAAAAAUCAGCUGGGCAUGGUGGUGCAUGCCUGUAGUCCCAGCUACUUGGGAAGCUGAGGCAGGAGAAUUGCUUGAACCUGGGAGGUGGAGGUUGCAGUAAACCGAGAUCGUGCCACUGCACUCCAGCCUGGUGACAGAGCAAGAGUCCGUCUGAAAAAAAAAAAAGACUUCUUAAUAAAAAACAGGCAUACCUCAUUUUACUGCACUUCACUUUUUUUGUGCUUCACAGAUAUUGCUUUUUUUUUUUUUUUUUUUUUUUUUUACAAAUGGAAGGUUUGUGUGGUAACCCUUCAUUCAGCAAGUCCAUUGGUGCCAUUUAUCCAAGAGCAUGUGCUCACCUUGCGUCUCUAUGUUACAUUUUGGUAAUUCUUACAAUAUUUAAAAAUUUUCACUAUGAUUAUAUCUGUGAUGGUGGUCUGUGAUCAGUGAUCUUUGAUGUUCCUAUUGUAAUUGUUUUAGGGCACCACCAACUGCAUUCAUAUAGGACGGUGCACUUAAUUGGUAAAUACUGUGUGUAUUCUAACUGCUCCACCAAUCAGGUGUUGCCUCAUCUUUCUCCUGCUCCUUGGACUCUCAAUUCCCUCAGACACAACAGUGUUGAAAUUAGACCAAUUAAUAUCCCUACAAUGGCCUCUAAGUGUUGAAGUGAAAGAAAGAGUUUCAUGUUUCUCACUUUAAAUAAAAAGCUAGAUAUGAUUAAGCUUAGUGAGUGUAUUAGUCUGUUCUCAUGUUGCUAAUAGAGACAUACCUGAGACUGGGUAAUUUAUAAAGAAAAGAGGUUUAAUGGACUCACCACUCCACAU